CCGCUCUUGUUCAUCCAUUGCCGCACCGUUGGAGAUCAACUUUCCCUCGGAUAGGAGGAACUGGGAGAUGGCCGUCGCCAAAGAUUCUGCGAUGCGCAUCCAUCAAUGUCAGGUCCUACUUUCAGCUGAUUCCUCCUCCAUAUCCCUUGAGUUCGUUGGAGCCUUACAUGAGCCGGGAGACGAUGGAAAACCACUGGGGAAGGCAUCAUAGGGAUCACCUGAACAGUCUCAAUACUCACAUUGCUGGAUCUGAGCUCAACGAGAUGCCAUUGGAAGAGAUCAUCCUCACUUCCUAUAACAAGGGAGACUUUCUACCUGUUUUUAUUCAUGCCGCUCAGGUCAACAUUUUACUCCCCUGCAUUCCCUUAUUUAUUAUCAUUUUUAAGAACGUUUGGUUCUUGUAAUCACCUGUGACUUUUUUGCGCUCUUUUGACGCGACUCUGCAAAAGGUACUUGGUUGUGAGUACUGAUUUUUCUUUUUUUUGAAGGCAUUGCUGCUUGAUUCUCUCGAUUUUUAAAAUUUGUGCUGCAAGCACUGGUAGAAGCUAAUGUG